GAGGCUUUAGCUUAAUUAAAGUGUCUGAGUUGCAUUCAGGAGAUGUGUUGAAGUAACGCAAGUCUUA
rnacentral:tRNA from 4 species